rnacentral:rRNA from 1 species
CGUAAAGAACUUGCCUCACAGCUAGGGACAACAUUUAGAAAUGAAUGCUAAUACCUGAUAUUAUGAUUUUAAGGCAUCUUAGAAUUAUGAAAGCUAUAAGCACUGUGAGAGAGCUUUGCGUCCCAUUAGCUAGUUGGAGAGGUAACAGCUCACCAAGGCGAUGAUGGGUAGCCGGCCUGAGAGGGUGAACGGCCACAAGGGGACUGAGACACGGCCCAG